CUCGUCGGCUUAGCUGCGACGGCGGUCGAUUUAACCGCGACAUGGCAUGGCUCGGCACGGAACACGGCGUGGCUCGACGUGACGGCGCGGCGCGGCGCGGUGCGGCGCGGCGCGCUCUCGCAAAAAGCUUCGGAGCACCUUUCCCUCUUUUCUCCACUUCGCCGCUUCGCCCGGCUACCGUCAUCUUCGCUCGGUCGUCUCCUCCCUCUUCCUCCUUUUUCUUAGUCCGUCUCGUCGUCGGAGAGCUCUUGUGGGUCUUCGCCGCGGGACAAAAUAGCCUCUCGCCUUUCUCGGCCGCUUUUGCCCCGCGGCUGCGUCUUCACCGCGUGUCUUCGUCCUUCUUUCUCUCUCUCGUACCCUCCUCCUGCUUCUCAUCAUCAUUGCUUGGUUUCGCGCUUUCCGAGAGCGACCGACCGACCGACCGACCGACCGCCCGGCGUCUGCGAGAAUAAUGGGUUUGACGUUCGUGAGUAGCACAAGUCGAAUCUUAUUUCUGAAAAUUCAGAUGUGCCAUUUGAAGAGGAAGAGAUGAAAAAUGAUUAUUAUAAAAAAUUCUUCAUUACUUACUAUUAUAAAGUGCUGAAACAUGUUCCACGAAACUAUACGUAUCUAUAUGGUUCGAUGUGCGCGUACGAUCAGGAUUCUCUAAAGGGGAUGGGAUGGGCAAAAUGGUAGGAGAGAAAUACAUGCGAGAUACGCGGAAUCAAGGUGAAAGGAAGGAGGAAGUCUAUGAGAGGAGAGGCAAGGCACUUUUUGGUCGAGUUCGACGUGACCGGAGUAUCAAAGUCGUCGAGCGCUCGAACGCGGCUUGAUUUCUCGAACGCAACUUUGCGAUGCAAUCAUACUGACGAGAGAUUCUCUCGUACGAAGAGGAAAAUUCAGAAAUGGACAAUUCGAAACGCAAAUCGAUAAAUUAAUUAAUUGUGGUCGCGCAGAUUAAAUCCAAAGACUUUUUCUCCUAAAGAUACAUAUAAUGUAUAACAAUUAAGUCACGCCCUAUCUUUAGAGAAUGAAUUUACGAAGUUAAAACAAAUCGAAAAUAAAGAAUAAUGAAAUUGCGUUUAAGUCUUCUUUAAAAAGUCACAAUCAAAAUAAUGCGUUUUAAAUCUAGAAAUUUUAUCAUGUAUAAACAAUAAUAAU